rnacentral:rRNA from 1 species
AUUGAACGCUGGCGGCAUGCCUUACACAUGCAAGUCGAACGGCAGCACGGGUGCUUGCACCUGGUGGCGAGUGGCGAACGGGUGAGUAAUACAUCGGAACAUGUCCUUUAGUGGGGGAUAGCCCGGCGAAAGCCGGAUUAAUACCGCAUACGAUCUACGGAUGAAAGCGGGGGACCUUCGGGGCUCGCGCUAUAGGGUUGGCCGAUGGCUGAUUAGCUAGUUGGUGGGGUAAAGGCCUACCAAGGCGACGAUCAGUAGCUGGUCUGAGAGGACGACCAGCCACACUGGGACUGAGACACGGCCCAGACUCCUACGGGAGGCAGCAGUGGGGAAUUUUGGACAAUGGGCGAAAGCCUGAUCCAGCAAUGCCGCGUGUGUGAAGAAGGCCUUCGGGUUGUAAAGCACUUUUGUCCGGAAAGAAAUCCUUGGCCCUAAUACGGUCGGGGGAUGACGGUACCGGAAGAAUAAGCACCGGCUAACUACGUG